UGUUUAUGAUGAAAAAUCCAAGGCUUGUUUCUCAAGAACAUGCGCAGUUGCCAACUAAGAGCUUUCGCCUAUCGCCGGGUUUGAGAGCUAAUGCUGCUUUAUACCUUCCUUGGAUGUCUGAAACA